GGGGCAUUAGCUCAGUUGGCUAGAGCGCGUGACUGGCAGUCACGAGGUCAGCGGUUCGACCCCGCUAUGCUCCACAA
rnacentral:tRNA from 1 species